UUUGCUUUAACGCCACAUAUACUAAAAUUGGAACGAUACAGAGAAGAUUACGAUGGCAUUUACCUAAGGAUGACAUGCAAAUUACUGAAGCAUUGUUUUUUUUU